GAUGAACGCUGGCGGCGUGCCUAAUACAUGCAAUUCGAGCGAACGGACUAGAAGCUUGCUUCUCUGAUUUUAGCUGCGGACGGGUGAGUAACACGUGGAUAACCUACCUAUAAGACUGGGAUAACUUCGGGAAACCGGAGCUAAUACCGGAUGAUAUUUUUAACCGCAUGGUUCAAAGGUGAAAGACGGUCUUGCUGUCACUUAUAGAUGGAUCCGCGCUGCCUUAGCUAGUUGGUAAUGUAACGGCUUACCAAGGCAACGCUGCAUAGCCGACCUGAGAGGGAGAAAGCACACACAGCAACGGAGACACGGUCAUGAAGCCAACGAAAGGCAGCAGCAGGGUAUCUUCGGCAAUGGGCGAAAGAAUGACCGACAGACGCGGCAUGAGGGAUGAAGGUCUAAGGAUACUAAUACGAUGUGAUAAGGGAAGAAGACAGGUGCAAGCAACCAUGAACAUCUUGACGGUACUUAGCCAGAAAGCCACGGCUAAAUACGUG
rnacentral:rRNA from 1 species